AUUUAUGACGUAUUAAAAAAAAACUACUUACUAGAUCUUAAGUUACAUUUUACCACUUUGGAAGUGUCUCUCGCGCAAACUAUUCAGUUUAGAAAAAAAUGAUAUUAGAAACCUAAAUAUCAUUUUUGAAGACCUAUCCAUAGAUACCCCAUACGUAUGGGUUUGAUGAAAAAAAAAUUUUUGAGUUUCAGCGAUUUAUGACAUA